UUUUUUGGAAAAUAUAUCUCUUCUUCAGAUGAGAAGCAGAAAGCAAAUGAUGUCACCGCAGCCAACCUUGCAAUGAGGGCAAAGCAAAGAAAAACAGGCUGGUGUUUGCGUGAUAGGCGUUUUGAGGAGGAGGAGGAGGAGAUGAAAUCUGCCCCCUGGUCCGUGGCGUGCUGGGCUCAGGCAGCCCAGACUCAGCUCAGCCGCAGCUUAUGGAACCCCAAACUGGGGGACUGAAAGCCAGACAACAGAUAAAGGGAAAGCGAAUUCAGAAAAUGCAGCACCAGGCACCAGGAUAUAUCAGGAACUCCCUGCAGUGUCUCUCAUGUAAUGAAGAAUAUAGAAAUCUAAAAUGACAAUGAGAUGUAAUGCAGAUGCAAUUGACCCACUUCCCCUGUGUAAUUCAUUUGAAGUAAUCACCUAGUCAGGACACAUUUAACACUUGUUACUGUAUUUCUAACCUGCUGUUUAUGUCUGCUUAGUUUCUUAAAAGCUGACCGUAUAUCGAGAGGGCUGUUUAUCCAGUGGUAAUAAAACCUGGUCAGGAAAUUCUUUACCACAAGUUAUUGGCAGUGUCAGAUUUGGGGGUACCUGGAGAAACCUUGGGCUCGUUGCACAAUAGGUAGCAGUCUGCUGAAUCCAAUUCACUU